rnacentral:rRNA from 1 species
CCACGCCGUAAACGAUGAGUGCUAGGUGUCGGGAGUCAAAUCUCGGUGCCGCAGUUAACGCAAUAAGCACUCCGCCUGGGGAGUACGUACGCAAGUAUGAAACUCAAAGGAAUUGACGGGGACCCGCACAAGCAGCGGAGCAUGUGGUUUAAUUCGAAGCAACGCGAAGAACCUUACCAAGUCUUGACAUAUUUCGGAAGGUUUUAGAGAUAAAACUUUAUGACUUCGGUCAACUGAAAUACAGGUGGUGCAUGGUUGU